CAAUUUAGAAAGUCAUAUUCAUUUCCUUCCUAAUACAUUUAAACUGCUCCACAUCUUCCAUCUUUAACAUUCACACAGUUUCGGAGAAAAUAGCCGGCCAACCGCCGUACACCAUCGUUCCGCCACUAGUCCUUGUCGACGGUCGACCUCGUUACUCGCCACGCUUGCAGCCGUUGAAACCACGUCGACAACAUGGACACCGCAGCCACACAAGUCGAAUCCGCCGGUGAGUAUAAUCGUCGGCCGGAGAAUAAUUUUCAGUGCGAAGAUGUUGAUGAUGUGUACCCGGAUUAUGUUGAACAGAAGAUUGUGAAUGAUAGCAACUUGUGGAUGAUUGCAGAUUGUCGAUUAAUGUCUACCGGAGAGCAAUCGUGCUGAUAACGUGUUGUGAAACCACUGUGAAAUCUAUAUUGAAUCUUUAAUCUAUAUAUUCCAUAUGAUACAAAUGUGAUCCAUCUAAAUAACAACAUACAAUAGUAUAUAUAACGUACGUGUGUUAAUUGUCAAAACAUUUAUGAGAGGUUAACUACCAAGGCAGUUACAACAGUUAUGAUAGGUUAAAUGCCAAGGCAGUUACAAAGGGUGUUUUGUAUAUCUGUUUUAUGACAACUAGCACCAUUUGUAAUGAUUCGCACCUUUAAAAAAUAAAAUAACCAUUUAAAAAAAUAAAAAAUCAAUAAUUAACAUAACACCAUAAAGUCUUGAGAAAUCUUCUUCCCCCCAAAAUUUUCAGCAAAAUUCGUUCUCCCUCCCAAAGUUCCUCCUCGAUCCCCUGAACCCAAACCAAUCGGCGGCAGCCCUCACGGCUACAAACCCUAAUCGGAGCUUGAAUUGAUCGACAAAUAGAGGUGAUGUUGCAGUUGUUCCAGCUUUAGGCGGUUGUUCACUCACCACCAUUUGUUCGAUUUAUGAGUUCAGGAAGGGCUGGUUGCCUGAUUAGGGUUCCGACAACUCCGUGUUGAUCUAUCCUCAGGUAUCUCAACUUCUUCUCUUUUAGUUUCAAUUUCUUAUAUGUUCUAUAUAUCCUAUUAUUUUUAUCCAUAUCAUUCCCUAAAAGAAAAAAAAAAUCGGUAUCCAAAGAUUAGAUUGUAGCAAUUUUGAAGUAGAAGCUAAGUUCUUAUCUCUUUUGGAGGAUCGUCUGCAAGCGGUAAGCAACAAUCGACCUUAAACUUUCUGAUAUAUAAAGUUUGUAAGCACCGAUUUAAGCAUGGAAUCAUCGGUAAUAUUUUGAUUAAGGGGGUUGAACUAAAUAUACAGAACUUUGUCUCUGUACUUGAUUAAUAUAUUUUGGAAAGAGGUUUGAUGUAUAUUUUGGUGGAGGUAAUACAUCAAAAGAGUCAGAUGUGAAUUUGGGAGAAAGAAGAAGGUUUGGAAAUACUCAUGCCAUUUAAUUUAUAUGAAACGCAACUAUGGUUCAUGAACUCCAAUAGUUUUAUAAUUUCUUAGAAGUCUGACUUUGUGGAGAUAUUAUAUUUUCACCAAAUAAAGAUGAAUGAUUAAGUAACCUUAACAAGUUAUCAUCAUUGUAAGCUUACUAAUCCACGUGUUAAUGUUUUGUGCACCUCCUUGAUAAGCUUGCGUGUGUGUCUUUAAUGAAUUAACCAGAUUGCAUUGAUAGUUAUACUAAUUUGAUAAUGAUUAUUAACAAUUUAAAUGGUUAUUGAUGAAUGUUGCUGAUGCUAGCAGGCUAUAAGUGGCAACAUAGCAGUCAAAUGUUGAUCAAUUGACCAGAGGAGUUGAGCGGUCAAGAGGCGGGCAGCCAACAGUGCGUUGGGUGGUUGGGUAUCUUCACCGGCUCAUCUCCUCUUCUAUCACCGCUCGAAACAAAAGCCGGGAGUGGUGUACGAGUGGUGACCUCUUUUUCCUUUAUUGCCACAUGUACAAGAGGCCGUGCGCUCUCGCACACGGGUUGGCGCAAUACUUCGCCUCCGCAUAUCAUCAGCAGGAGCGCGGAUUAUUAUAUGGCGGCACCUACGUUACUGUGAUAGCCAUGUCGUUUGGCUAUCACCCAGAGACUGACCCGCUUUUACGCCCGACAAUACAGUCGAAGAGGAUAGGGAUGUUAUCGCUAUCCGGAAUGAAGAUUGUCAAAAGGUUCCCACCUGACAACCGGAAGCGUUUUAAGGGUUCGGACGGCCAGCCCUUCCAGUCGAAGGACCUGCCGGCACAGUUCGAACCGAUAGAUCCCCCAGCCGUGCCGGAGCAGGUGGUAGUGCAUGACUCAGAGAUGUACAUUCCGAACCCACCACAGCCGCGUGGAACACCCGGGGCGCCUCAGUUCCCGUGACAUGUUGGGCUCGGUCCUGCCCCUCACACACGGCGUAUCAGCAGCUACGUGAAGACGUUGACCAUCUACGUGAGGACGUUGACCGGCUGAAGUAUGUGAUGGGCUGGGUAGCUGAGGAGUUGCAGGAUCGACGACAGCGUGAUGGAUUACUUCCACGACCCUACAUCCCGGCUGCAGCAUGGCAUCAACAUUAUCAGCAGCAGUAGCAGCAGCAUCAACAGUAGUAUGAU